CCCGUGUAUCUGACCACAAGCCAACCCAUUCCUUCUCCAAAUGUACUAAUUCCUCCUUGGGAGGAUGAAAAUUGCAAGAGCCCAAGUGUGAUGCUCGAGGAUGAGUUGUCAUGGAAACACAGCAAGCAUAUGUGUACUUCAUUCAGUCUGGUCCUCUCUUUUCAACUAGACACUUCUACAGAGGAAGAGAACAGCUCAUCUUCCUCAUUUCUGACAGAAGAAGACAGAGAACUGGGGAGAAGUAAGGCUUGGAGUCAAUUUCAUGUUAACUAUAUUCUCCUCCUGUUUUUUCUCUUUUCUCCCAUUUUCUCUAUUUCCUCCUCUUUCUUCUUACUUCAUCCUGAUCAUCCCUAGCAGUGAUACACUAACCUCUUUUUCACAUUCCGGAGAGUUGACAAACCAGUUCCCCAACUGCCACCUUCACUGCCACAAUCAUCACUAACCCCAAGGGACAGGACAAACUUAUGGACUGGAAAGACAGGCUGUACUUUUUUACAAAGACAAGGAGGGCAGCCUCUGAAAGAGAGACAUCAAUCUCAGCUGCUCCUAAAAGUAACAUCUCAUUCAGCAUUUCUGAGGAUAUCAUUUCUGGCAUUUGUAUGGAGUGCAGCAGUUGAUGUCACCCUGACUUUACUGGAAAAACAUUUCAUCAUCUUUGUCUCACCAGUGCCCAACAGAGCACCAGGCCACAAUGAGUAUUUAUGGCAUUGUCUGCUCAACCCUGCCCAAUUACUUUGCAAACUGUGUCUCUCCUUCCCAGCGCUGCUUGAUGAGGAUAAGACUCGUUUCAAGUUGUGCCAGGUGUCUUCUCUUCGAUUGUUUGGGUUUGGGAUCACAAGUGGCCAAAAGCUAGAGGACAUAAAGCUUAGAAGGUGCCCAUAGUCAGGUUUUCCACAUUGGAAAUAGGAGAAAGAAAAAGACAACACACAGAGACCACAAAAGGAAAAGAUGGAGAUAGAAUCUUCACCACAUUUGGUCCCUGGCUGCGGUAGUCCUUAGGGUAUGCUGUGCUUCUGCCCUUCUUGUGGAUUAGCUACACUGGGAGAAAACCAGCACCCUUCAAGCUUGUGUCCAAGUUUUUCAUAAGGUAUGAAAUGUGUGUCUGCCGUUUACAACUAAAAGGAUUCUGACUACUCCCGGGCCUUUAGCAGGUAUGUCGUAAACAGUUGCUGAAUGACUAUUGGGAGGCUUCUUAGUGUCUUAGAGGUGAGUGUAGUAAGACCAGCGGAUGUUGGAAAGGAUACGUGGUUUAUCCCUCAUUCCCAAGAGGCACACCUGCCAAAGAGAAAGUACUCCUGUCUUGAAAGACCCCUGAAAGAUAACCUCCCUUGGUUAUUUAACAAAGGAGAUGAGAAGAACAUGGAAAACCAUGACGUCUCGAAUCUCUCCUCCUUCCUUAAAAGUCCUCUUGUCUUUUGUUCUUAGUCUUGAUGAUUUUCCAGCUUUCAUUCAAAAAACGUUAUUUUACAUCUCUAGCUCUCAUCUCUUUCUGUAUUUCAUCUAAUCUAAAAUCUAUUUCUAUUCCCACUGUUCACCUUAAUGUCAUAUACGUCACUGUUCUCAGUGAUACGCCGUAUCACCUCCCAGAGACCCAAAGACGCUCAUCAUAAAAGGUUAUGUGAGGCGCAUUCUUCCGUCGAGCAGUAAUUUACUGCAGGUCUUGUACCUGGUGGGCACUAUGCUAAAAGCUAUGGCACUAAAGCAGGACAGCUGACUGCCCAGAGAAAAUGUAAUCUAAACCCAACAUAAUGAAAUUUCUCUUAUCUGAAACUGGAAUAAUUAAGGCUAUUGUCUUUAUUUUCUUCAUCCACUCACGGUCUGGUUACCUAAACAACAAAUAUUUUUGGGUUUCUGUUUUGGGUCACGUAUUGUUACGGUUCUGGGUUUAUAGAGCUAAACAAGUUCCCUGUUUUCUAAUGAGGAAGACAGAAAGAAGCAAGUUAACAAUUCACUAAUAGUUUCAGGCAGUUUCAGACAGUGGUAACAGCUCUGACUAAAAGAAGCAGGAUAAGGAUUAAGCGUCUUAAUGUGGGUAGGCAAUUAUAAGUGACGUAAGCAAGGUGACUGCUUUGAGGAGAUGUAAGUAGAUGCCUGAGUUCCCCACAAGGAUAAACCACCCUGAGAUCUAGUGGGAUAGCAGUCCUGCUGGGUUGCCUGAGGAAUUUGACUACUUGGUUUCUGGGCUCUAUCUAGAUAGAAAACCUAUCAUUUUAAUAGUCCCACCUAGUUCUUGUUCCAUAAUAGUUCUAUGUUCCCUUUCAAAGUUUUUGCCAGCAUUUACCAGUAAUUUUAACAGUACAGCCUCUGUCAAUACUUAAAAGGCUGGUGGCUGUAGGAGCCUAUACCCCUAUCUACAGAUGCCGUCAUGGUACUUAAUGAAAGCUACCAUCGAGGAAGAAUAAGCCUGAGAUGCUGCAUGGAAAAUGUCUGAUCUUUCAGGAAAAAAGAAAUAGCUUUGGGUGCUCUAAAUGAGCGCACUCAUGUUGUCAUUAAUCGGUUCUCGUAAAAGCCUCCAUUUCUCCAACUAAAGCUUUGGAGUGGUUGCAACC
ensembl:lincRNA